rnacentral:rRNA from 1 species
ACUGCUCAGUAACACGUGGACAACCUGCCCUUAGGUUGGGUAUAAACCCGGGAAACUGGGUAUAAUACCCGAUAGGUCUCGAUUGCUGGAAUGCAUCGAGAUUUAAAGCUCCGGCGCCUAAGGAUGGGUCUGCGGCCUAUCAGGUAGUAGUGGGUGUAGCGUACCUACUAGCCUACGACGGGUACGGGUUGUGAGAGCAAGAGCCCGGAGAUGGAUUCUGAGACACGAAUCCAGGCCCUACGGGGUGCAGCAGGCGCGAAAACUUUACAAUGCUGGCAACAGCGAUAAGGGAACCUCGAGUGCCAGGUUACAAAUCUGGCUGUCGAGAUGCCUAAAAAGCAUUUCAUAGCAAGGGCCGGGCAAGACCGGUGCCAGCCGCCGCGGUAACACCGGCGGCUCGAGUGGUAACCGUUAUUAUUGGGUCUAAAGGGUCUGUAGCCGGCCGGAUAAGUCUCUUGAGAAAUCUGGCAGCUUAACUGUCAGGCUUUCAGGAGAUACUGUCUGGCUCGAGGCCGGGAGAGGUGAGAGGUACUUCAGGGGUAGGGGUGAAAUCUUGUAAUCCUUGAAGGACCACCAGUGGCGAAGGCGUCUCACCAGAACGGACCUGACGGCAAGGGACGAAAGCUAGGGGCACGAACCGGAUUAGAUACCCGGGUAGUCCUAGCCGUAAACGAUACUCGCUAGGUGUCGGCCACGGUGCGACCGUUGUCGGUGCCGUAGGGAAGCCGUGAAGCGAGCCACCUGGGGAAGUACGGCCGCAAGGCUGAAACUUAAAGGAAUUGGCGGGGGAGCAC